rnacentral:lncRNA from 1 species
UGAUGGGAAAGACUAGGGGAGCCUUCCUAGUUAAGCACUAACAGGUUGGGCCCCGCUGUCAGCAGGUACUCUGCCACGCCUCACUGCCUCCCAUCAGGCUUCUGGAUGGACUAGAGGAGAGUCACUUGCCCUACCCUGCUUCCCCCAGACGCAUUUGUACCUUCUUGGCCCCAGUCAAAGCUGCCUUCUGCAGUUUGUGGUAACAGUACUUCGCAUAGGUGCUUAUUGCCACCCCUAAAAGAGAAAGGGUGACAGUCAGCCUGGAGUGGACAUGUGGGAUACAGGGGCUGAGAACAGCAAUUACAGGGUUUUCACCCACCCCUGAGCUAGACAGUAGCCCAUAUUUUCUCCCAGGCACAGUCCUAUAGUACAAAGCCCCAGGAGGAGAGGCAAGGGGAGCUUCCCACGCCUGUAGGAGCUAGGGUGGAGGAGAGCCUUCUACAGCCUUCCUACAGCCACAGAGGAAAACCAGGCUGGAGACAAAGCACAUCCCUGUAAGGAGUCAUAGGCAAGAAAGGACACACUCAGGCCUUCAACUCUACUUCCUUUCCUCCUCAGGUGACCCUAGCAAGACCUUUGGUCUUCCCUGGUCCCAGGGGAAGAGGCUUCUAGUGCCUUUGGCCAGCACUGGGGCAAACACAGUUUUCCAGCAGGCAUGGCUUCCUUAGGGAGGGGUGAGGUUGGGGGGCAAGAGUGUCAGGGAGAGGAUGAAGUGUCGAGGCUUUGCUCUCAUUUGGAGACAGGACUCUCAGCAGAGCUAGUGGGGUUGGAGUGUUGGUACACUCCAGUGACAUAAACUUAGGCUAGGCAUGAAUGGAAGAUGAUGUCAAGUGUCACCCAGUUGGUCCUGGCAAAUAGGGAGAGAGGCAGAUGACAGAAAAUGCCAAGAAUGUCAUGGACAGACCUCCACUAGCUGUGUGCUUCUGAAAAACAGACGCCCUCCUCUGGAAGUUCCUUCUCUGACUCCUAGCUUGCUAUCCACUGGGGUCAAUGAGAUCUCUUAAGUUUCUUGUGGACAUCUGAGGAAUUGGGAAGGGCCUUAGAUGUGUGCGUCCAUAUCCCAUAAGCUUAUUUUGUCCCAUUAGACUACUUUAUCAUAAAAGUUUAUUCACUUCUGUAAAAGGGGUUCCUUUCUAACCAAAGUAAUUAUAGAUUUCUCAGAUGUUUAAGUCUUGGACAAUCUGCCCCACGUCCCAUGUGAUCCACAGAACCUGGCAGAAGAUCCAGGCUCUUGUCCUCAGCCAGCUGGAGAUAGCUCUGAGCUUUCUACUUCAGGGCACCCUACCCCUCAGGAAAGCCGUAAGGCUCCCUUGUUAAGAACAGAGUGCUGAAGUUCUUCCCCUGCCCUGGCUCAGCUCAGCAGAUGUCUGAGAACAAUGGAAGGGACUUAGGCCUGUUGCCUCCUGUUCUGCCCUCAGGGCUGCCUUGUCGGACAGUUGAUCAGGAGCACAGCAUUUCCCAUCCCUACCACUCCUCAGCUGGCGGCAGGUAUGAGAAAAAAUCUCCCUGGGCUUCAGUGUCUCAGUAGGAUAAGGACUAAAUAAAGCCCAUCUUAGAUGCUGAGGAUGGUUGUCUGGGAGCCAGUUAAGUGUUAGGCAGACAGCCUCUGGUGCUGUGGUGGUAGCAGGUAGGUCAGGACUGAGGCCGGAGCUACAUGUAACCCGGAGUCUAGGUAGCGGCAGUGACUUCUGCUCUGUGCUGAGUGUCCGCAGUGGGUCAGGCAGCGGUCACUGCCAUCCCAUAGAGACCUUUCCUUGCAUGAGGUCUGCUCCUGGGUCUGCAGUCUAGCCUCGUUGAACCUUGGCUGCAGGUUUUUGAACAGUUUUACAUCAAGGAGCAGCUUACACUUGUAGACUUAGAGGAGCAGUGCCUCAGGUUCUUCCUAGCGCAGCAGGUGCACCAGCGCUUACUGUGUCUGCUGGUGCUCAGCCCGCAUGGUCCAGGGAAGGAGUGCUCCCCAGUCUCCUACCUGACAAUCUGGGCUCCAGAGCUCUGCCCAGCUCUGCUUCAAGGUCCACAGGAGUUUGUUUCCUACCUUGUUGGCCAAAACUCACAGGUAGUUGGAUCUGUCCAGCUCCCGUGCCCUGGCAGCUGGGAAGCAGGGGCUGGUAACUCUACUACUAUCCCCACGGGCAGUCUCAACACAGGCUUGCCAGGGCAGCCUGGGAGGCCCCAAGCAAGAGAACAUUUCAACCCUACGGAAGUCAUCCUGGCCUCCUCAUAAGGCUCUGCAUGUUCUGCAGCUUCCUGCUGGCCACUUGUUCUGUUUUACACACAUCUCAUCUACAAAAAGCUCGUCCCUGAGUUCCCGUGGGCAGUACAGAGUGAAGAGUCAAACAAGGAGCAGGAGGCAGGGGUUCCAAUACUGUGGAUGCUGGCCUGGUGGAAGCAGGUCUGUAAGAAGCUGGUGCAGGCAGGCCAGAGCUGCCUUGAGGCCUUAUGAAGGAAUGGCAGCAUUGAGCUGUCACUGAGAGCUCUAGAUAGGGAGGUCACAGCCUUCUCUGGUGUUCAACUGAGCUGAGUGGUCCUGAUAGGGCUCAGGGGAAGAGCGAGGAGGAUACUGGUGGAAGAAGGCAGAGAAACUCUGGGCUUCAGAAGGCUUUGCUGGGGCCACCAUGGGAAAGGGAAGAUUCCCUGCUGGUAACAGGGUGGGCUCCCCUGCCCCCAGAGGUACCAGGCUAGAGGGCAGGGCCAGGGAAGCACUUGGCACAGGACAAGCAGCUCCUCCACCUGUGAGCCUCACCCCACGGUCAGGCCCGUUCACUCACCUGGGGGUGACUCCAGGCCUUCACAGGUUAGUCCUUGUUCCCCCUGUCCACCAAGAAGCAAGCUGUGGGUUGUCCUGGGUACCGCCAGAAGAGGUGCGCAGCAUGCACCGUUUCUCUAGUCACUGUGGCACCCCAGACCUCCAGGUUUUGCUUGCUUGGGAGGCCCCAAGCCUGAGGUUAGUGUCCCUCCCCCAGCCCAGAAGCGGUUAGAGAAGGCCAGGCGGCCAUGGCUGAAGAGCAGAGCGGUGCAGAGGCAGCGCCCAGGCUGCAGAGGCCCUACCAUCUGGCUCUUCAACAUAAGGCUUGGGUUUCUUUCUCAGUUUGGACUUCUUCUUACUGUUUCUUUCCAGAAGCUCUUUUAUGUGCUGUGUCACUGGGGAGCAAACAGAACCGUGAGGACCACAGGACACAAGCCAGAAAACACUGCCCAUGUGGUUCGUACACUUGGUGGCAAGGAGGCCCCUGGGCCUGCUGGGGGUCUGUCCCCAUCAAGCUGAAGGCCACGUGUCUCUGGAGACAGGCGGCUAUGUGCACACAUAGGUGGCUAUGUGCGGGAUGCUGGGACCUUGCUGGUGCUAUAUGACCAGAGGGCCUCAAGUGGUAGGAAGGCAGAGGGAGAUAUAGUGCAGCUGGUUCACACAUCUCUGGCCAAGAGGAGGGUUGGGUCUGGGCUCUUGAGCUGGUGUUUGGUCCACAGACCCACUGCUACAAAGCCAACAGAAACGGGUGAAUGACGGUGACAGGAGGCUCUAGUCUGGCGCAGACUGCCACCCGUGCUGGUGACUUGUCACCUGCCUGAGGACAUGCCUGUCAGAUUUCGGCACUGUGAAAGUGUCUUCUCCCCCAUUUCCCAUCAAUGCACUCUUUGGAAGUCAGUCACGAGGAAAUGUGUUAAGGGGAUUUAUUCAAUCCUUUGGUUUUAAGCCUUACCGCUAGGAAGUUUUCAGUUGGCUAGCAUUCCUGAACAGCUCCCAUUACCUCUCCCUCCCUAAGCCUCUAUGUCAAGAUUUGUGACUGAACACAAGAGUUUCAGUGCAUGCAAAGCAGGGAGUCUAACAAGAAGUGACAGGUCCAGCCCUUUUUACUUUUUGAGACGUGAUCGUAUUUAAACCAGUACAGCUGCCUUGAACUCACUUUGUAUCCAGGGCAGGCCUUGCCUCUUUUCCUCUUGCCUUGGCAUACUGGGUAGAUGAUAGACUAGUACAGCACCAGGCGUGACUAUGCUUACUUUAUGUAUUUUGGGUGCUGAGGACUGAACUCACAGCCUUGUGAACACUAGGCAAGUGUCUUGCACGGAGCUAUAAUUGUAGCCCUGAAGUUUCUGAGGUCUUGAAAUUCUAAGCCCUUGCUGUAUAGUUCAGGCUGACCUUGACUGGAGAUCCUCCAGCCUCACGCCCUCUCUGCACUAUGUCCUAGCCACUUCUGACACAUCUCAUCAAUAUAUUUUCUAUACUAGGAUGAAAUCAGCUAUUUCUUGAAAGGACUAUGGGUUCUUAUAACAGAAAAACCAAAAAAAAAAAAAAAAAAAAAGAAGAAGAAGAAAGGGUGUCUGGUGUACUUUUCCUUAUUCAAGCAUCCGUGCUUCUGAGAUCCUCUCAGCAGACAGAACAAGCAAAUAUGUGUCCAUUGAUCCAUGUAUAUACGAACAUAUCUAUAAAUACUUCUGUAGGUAUGGAUUUGUGUUGCUAUUAAAGUACAUAUGAGUUCACUAGGCAGUGGUGGCACACACCUUUAAUCCCAGCAGAAGCAGAGGCAAGUGGAUCUCUAUAAAUUCAAGGCCAGCCUGAUCUACAGAGCAAGUUCCAGGUGAGCCAUGGCUACAGAGAAACCCUGUGUCAGAAAAACAGAGUAACAUGAGUUCGUUAACCCAUCAAUCCACACACCUUUGGCUGCAACUUUAACUGGCUUUCCAUUUCUCUCUUUCUCUCUCUCUCUCUCUCUCUCUCUCUCUCUCUCUCUCUCUCUCUCUCUUUCUCUCUCUCUCCUGGAACUCACUCUGUAGACCAGGCUGGCCUCAAACUCAGAAUUAACGUUUUGAUUUAUGAUUUUUUUUUUUAAUUCUUGAAAUAGGUCUGUGUAUGUAGUCUUGGCUACCUUAGAAUUCCCUCUGUGGACCUGCCUGGCCUAGAGAUCCAUUUUCCUCUGCCUCCUGAGUGCUGUGUUAAAGGAAUGUGCCACCAUACCUGGUUGGUUUAUAACACAUUUUUGAGUUAAUUUUUCAUACAGUGCAAAGUGGAGGUUGGAGUUAGUAUCUUUUGUGUUUGAAAGACCCUGCACCUCUGAGGAAAACAGACCUGCUCCAUCCUGGCACCUCUGUGAUCACAGACCUUCCUCCCCAGACCAGACUUUGACUUCACCAGAUCUACAAGCCAUCGGUGGGAGGUCCUCUAACACGCUGCUCUUUUUCAUUAACGGAGCUCCACGCUGCCCCUUCCGUCCUCUUGAGAGCUCCUACCGUCCUCUAGAAAGACCCUACCCUCAGCUGCAGCAUCCGGCUGUGCCUCAGGCCAGCUGGUCUUCCAAAGCAGGUGCUGCAAACUCUUGAGUAGGUAAGGCAGGACUCAUGCCAUACUCUACCUUCCCUGGACCACAAUCUGAGUAUUUGAGACAAGACGCCACAUGUAGUCCUGGCUGGCUGAAAGUCUCUAUAGACCAGGAAGCCCCAAAAUUGCUGCAGUCUGUUUAUAUCGCUUCUUUGUUGUAGCUUUUGUGCCAUACAGGGUGACAGGAAGGGCCAGUUACUUAAACACACACACACACACACACACACACACACACACACACACACACAACAAAAACCCUGUACACUUUAACAUAAAAAGAUUAGGAUGAGGCAGUUCAAAAACUGCUGAACUGGGUGGCGAUGGUGCACACCUUUAAUCCCAGCACUCAGGAGGCAGAGGCAGAGGCAGGGGAUCUCUGAGUUCGAAGCGAGUCUGUUUCAGGACAGCCCGGGCUACACAGAGAAAUCCUUCCACAAACAAAACAAAGCAAAACAAAACAAAACCAAACCAAACCAACAAACAAAACUGCUGCAGUCCUGUCUCUGGCUCCCGAGUGCUGGCAUUAUGGGUGAGUCCCACCACGCCUUGCUGGGACCCAUGCUCUUGAACAAUGCUCAUUUAUGCCUGUUGAGGAUGGGGUGACAGCUUGCAUGUAGAGGUCUCUUUGCGGCUCAUGGCCAAGCAGAGCUGCACACAGGCAAACUUGAGGUGACCCAAUGAUGGAGAUGGUUUUGACAGUAAGAGCAGCCAGGCCCCAUGGCCUGGAUGCAGGCCACCAGUUGGCUGCUUACCAUUCAGAGUCCAGAGGUAAGACUUUUGGGGUGCUAUUAGGCCACUGCCCUGAAGCUAAAUAUUUUUCCUACUUUUGUAAAAGCCAGAACACUAUGGGUAUAAUACACUGUGAAAAAAGCCCACACAGACACUGUGCGAAGGGGGGUACCAUAGGAGGUCCUACAGAAACAGCCCAGUUAUGGCCUUCCUGGCUAGAUGACCCUUAAGCCCCUAGUCACCUCCUAAGUUUUCAUUUUCUUACUAACUCACUCAAGGACACGCCUGAGAUGUUGCACGUGCCUCACGCUGUGCUGGGCAGAGGAGACUCGUUUUCAUACCCUAUAGCUCAAGUACACUCGAAGGCUCUUUAGAAAGGGCAAAGAAAUGGUCUACGAGGUCAACAAAGCACAGCUUCCAGGACCCCUACUCGUAGGAAGGCAUACGAGGACCAGACCGGGGUUCUUGACUUCUCCCCUCAAGCCUAGAGUAACCCCAGCUGCUUGGAAUCUGACUCUGGUUCCCAGUGCAGGUGUGGGAGCACCGGUAUGUGCCAGGUUCUACAUCCGCCAGUACCCACGCUGGGUAGAAGCCACAUGGCUUCUGAGAUUCCCCUCUCACGUGGCUGACAUGUGCUUCCUAUGCUUGGCACACCUUUUCCAGAAGCCUGUGCAAGCCAUGCAGCUUCUGCCAUGUCCUCAUGUGAGCACGGUGAGCCAACAUUAUGAAGACUGCUGUCCCCAUCUCUGUCCCUGGUGGAGACAAGGCCUAGAGGCCCCGAUCAGUUUCUAGAGAAAUAGCCCACGAGAGGCUCUUCUCCUCCCGAGGAACAUUGCACAGGAUCGUAUAGUUACAAGCAUGUGGGUUUGAGCAUGUGUGUCUGCAUCAAAACAGAAGCUCUGUGCCUGGAUUCCAGAUACUCAGCCCCGGGCUCAGACAGCUGCCCAGCUAAUAGAAUCACGAAUAUCUCUGGGGGUCUUGUUCUUGGUCCUAGGCAUCUAUAGGCAAGGGGUUAUCUGUGACAGUCCUAUCUUCCAACCUCACAGGGCAGCUCAUCUUAAAUGCCCACUAACUGGCUGAACUUAGAAGACUUUUAUAUAUGUGCUGGGCCUGUGGACUGGAACCUAGUGAGUGACACACUCAGGUCACCACGUUUUUCUCUGUUUAGGCCACUGGCCCAGACCCUACACAGAAGGCAGCUUGUGUAGCCUCUUUGGUUAUCUUCACUUACCACAGGGUAACAAAAUUGAGUGUAGCAAGGGUAUCGGAGCUUGGCAAUGCCUGCCCCGUGGGAGGUUUGGAGGGGUGUAGAUACACAAGGUUAUACAUCGUAUUUCUGCCAGAGUUCAGGUUCUCUGAGGCUACAAGGCAGAGGAAACUAGGCUUUGGGAUUUUCCAGGGGACUGCAUAUCUUCUUGGAACUGGCAAGUGCCAGCCAGCAUGGCUAACAGCCCUCUCUAUAGCCCUUACCUCAGCAGCAGCAAAGCUGGGGUGCUGAGGGCCCCACAUGCUGGCUCUUACCUUUGGUGUCGUUAACAGGGUCCAUAUGCCGGUAGAUAUAGCCCUCUAGGUAGGAGUGGAACUUGGGGGUUGGUGGGAAGAAAGCCAGGCAGAUGGCCAUGAGCUCCCAGCCACGGGCCAGGCUCUCUAGGCGGAAGUUCUCUGUGGUUUGCCGGCACAGCUGGAUAUACAGCUCAUCCCGCAGGCCCUGUGCACUCCAGCCUUUGGUGGCUAUCUCUAGGGCUACGUGCAGUGGGUCUGCCUUGGCGCGCCUGUCCCCCAUAUACAUUUGGAUUAGCUUGAAGAUCUCGCAGGCCUCCUUCUUCACGUGCCGGUCACUAGUCACAAUCAUGGGCUUCUUGAUGGACUCACUGCUCCAGGCCAACAUGUUAGCUAUGGACACCUUGCGCCGGAAGAGCCCCUGGGUGUGCUUGUUGAAGUGCUUGGAGGCCCAGUUCUCGAUGUCCGUCUCUGAGGAGGGCUUCCGCAGCGUGAAUGUGGGGAAGACACAGCUGGAGCUGGGCAUUGCGCUUCGGUUCUGUCGGCUGCUCUCAAACUGGGCGCAGGCACCAAGGUCCUCAGACUGGG